UUGUGAGAGAGAGGAAGAAUGUGUAUUGUGAAUGAGUGCAAGAAAUGUGUGUGUCUGAAUGAGCCUGAGUGUGAGUUUGCGUGCGAGUAUAUGCGUGAGAGAGAGAGAGAGAGCUUGCAUGAGAUUGUGUGAAUAUGUGUGUGGGUUGCUGUGUGGAAAUGAAAUGUGACUCACCACUUUACCUUUUGAACUGUCCCUUUAAGGUGCCCUGUGUGUGUGUGUGUGUGUGUGAGAGAGACCAUGUGUACACGUGUGAUGAUUAACCAUAAAAGACUCACUGAAUUCAUAUAAACAGCAGCGGGAUGCUAGCCUCCUCACUGUGACUGGGAGCAGCGAGCCAAUGAUGUGGAAAUCUAUGACUUUGCUUCUUGUUGCCUUGGUGCUGGCGCAGCCCAUCACGGCUGAUAGGAAAGUGCGACACAGGAUAUCUUUGGGAGGUUUCUUCAGUGAUUGUACAAGCUUGGGAGCAACUUGUAAACAAGCUCACUGUGACUCCAGUGAGAUUACUCUCAAUGGAAUAUGUGACAGGAACAUGUUCUGCUGUUCGAAAAGCUGAGGAAGAGGAAACAGAAUGUGUCGCAGAGCGAGGCAUGUCUGAAGCCUGACUAAUAACUCACUGCCAUUUCUGAAAUUCGGGCUCUGCUCGAUUACGUAGACGCAAUAGCAAAUUGACCCACUGCUUUUUGAAAGGCGGGAAUAAAACUCACUGCAUGGA